UGCGCACUGUGCGCCCGAGGACACGCUCGGUUGUUCAGGGAACGCAGAUGGUGGAUAUCGACAGAGACAGCAUUACAAUGGAACCCGUGGCAGCUGGGAUACGCGCACAGGCUCCUUUAAAAAUGCGGACAUCUGCGCACUGGUUCAUUCCACGCACAAUCCAAAUACUUCUUUGUUCACAGCCUUCCGCUUUUAUUUGUUCCCCAUAAACCUAGACGAGCGCAGCUGUUUUUUGGCACUCCCUACUCGGUCUUCGGGCAAGGAAGAGGUAGGGAGCCGAGCCUGGUCGAGCCACGUACGGUCAUGAUCAUCUCACUUCUUGAGGCUUCGCAACCUAGACGAUUCGUAUUUAAUACGAUUUUGGAAGAAGCUACAAUACGCUGAUACAUUACGUUAUCCUCCAAACAAGAUCGUUUCGUCAGGUCACGAGAGGACUACGGGCCAGGUGUGGGUUAUGAUAGCCUGCUGACGUUGAAAGGUAGUUUAAAUGAACAAAUAAUUACGCACCAGCAUGGUCCAGCAGGUGGUGUGUCUCCUCACGACCACAGGGGCAUAUGAAGUUACUGAUGGAAAUUCCCUGACGGAGGCAGGAGGAGGAAAGGGUAUGUGCUCUGCAUGGUGUCUCAAAGGGAGAUGAAUCAUCUAUUAAUGCCUGUCAUACAAAUACAUUUUGAUUUGAUACAUCAGUCGAUGACCUCAGUUGAUUGAUCUUGGUAAAAAAAAAAGAUUUUGAUAUGAGCUUAGAAUAAGCUAUGGUAAAGAUCCUAGUCAGGUGUUGUAUUUCUUUAUGAUGCUGGGGCUGGCUUUUUUGGCCUGGCCUAGGUCAGUUAUGGACAGGUUUAUGCCCUGCCAUUCAUCUUUGAUUUGUGAAAAACUGGGACAGUCGGACAGAACACUGAGACAGAACACUCGGACAGAACACUGAGACAGAACACUCGGACAGAACACUGUCCGAGGUGUGGCGUUACGGGGGGCAGGUAUCAGAGGAGGGUGCCUUCUACUUUCUGCUGCUCUGUGUCUCUGCUCUGUGUUCUUCUUCAGGUUUGCAGAGGAAGACUGUGGGAUAGACCCUGUGGUCUUGGAGGACUCAUCGACGUUAGCCUGCAUGAUGAGAAGCUGUCUACUGCAAGGGCAAUUCUGUAAACAGUUGUCACCUGUCAUCACCAUGGCUUCCACUAGGGGGCACUGGAACCCCGGCCUCUCACCCACUGGAAGACGGACACUACUGCAUAGGGCUGACUUCAUUGCUGUGUGUGUUAGGUACUGACAAACGGUUUAGGGCAGUACAUCAGCUAGCUGUUAGUGAGAUAUCAAUCUCCCUUCAUCAAGUUAGAAGAAGCUGUCUUCUCAUUCGUGUGUUCAGUAGGACCACACCCAAGGCCAUGACAGAACCUGUUAUGUUCUCUUCAGUUAUUCACCUAAAUAACACACUCUCUCUCUCAGUAACUAACCCUGCUUAUUGCUUCAAGCGCCACGCCAACCCUUUUGUCAGGCAUAGCAGUGCCGAACGAAGCCCAUCUCUGCAGUCCGUUUUACUCCUCUUUGUAGAGCCUGCUUCUCCUCACCCUGUCAGCUGUGCCCUGAUCUACCGGUAACCUUGGCAACACUGUUUAACACCUUGUUGACUUCCUCCUGUGGAUGCAAGUCUAACAUUAAUCACAUGAUUGACUCGAGCCCGAAGCCCCUCACUAAUCUUUAUGUAAAUAUCUGAAUUAGGCUGUUAGGAAGUGUGCAGCUUGACUUGCUGCAGUUGCUUAACGAUCUGCUGGAGGACAGUGUCAUUACGGCUUCGUAACUGCUCACCUUUUCUCAUUUUGUGUUUAUUUUUAUUUGAAUGUGAAUAGCUGUUUAUGCGUUUGUUACUGCGUUUGAAAUGGGGUUGAUAUGAGCUGUUUUAUUUCGUAGAUGGAGCAGCUCUUGUUGUAGUUGUUUAGUACCAGGAUGAUGUUAACACUGAAAUGGCUGUACAGCAGCUUCAUGAAUCUACCGAAACAAACAUUCAUCUGCUAAGUGUCUUGUCUGAGGUUUGACUGUUUGUGUGUGUGUGUUUGUAGGUGCGUGCGUGCGAACAUAUGUAUAUGGUGUGUUUUUGCAUGUGUUAUCUGUUUUAAGACCACAAAGUGUCUGUGGGGUCUAGGAUUGUAGGUCCUCAACAGCGAAUGCUCCGAUUAAAUCAGACUAAUACAUCUAACUAGCCUACUAAUAUCUUCUCAAGGGCCAUCCACACUGGCUGACAGGGCUCCAUAGCAGUUCACAGGGUGCAGUCAUGCACUCUGCCUUCAAAACAAACGUUCAGCGUGUGUGGGCUAGUCCAGGAGACUUGCUUUGGAGAUGGUCUGUAACCGUCAGCAGUAGGCUGAGGUGGACCGCUUUGUCACAGCAAGCAGCGAAAAGCAAUUUGCAGGCGUCAAAAAUCGGAAGGUUUCCUGGAUGCAGAUCGAUGCCGACUCAGUCUGUGUGGAUCUUAGCCGUCUAGUGUGAAAGGCCCUUCAAAGAUCUUACUAAUCUGUCCUCUGGUUGAUCCAGGCUGGGCCUGAUCUCUCUAACACCCUCACUAACCCUUCCGCCCUCUGUUUGACCUCUCCCAUGGUCCUGCAACCUUUCUGAUGCCAGAUACGGGUCACUUUGACAUAGGUAUACUAACGCCUUACACAAUUAGUUCUAACUUUCAGUGCAUCAAAAUAAACAAUACAUUAUCUUCCUUAAAAUGAAGAGAAUGGUUUCAGGAUUUGGGGAUGAGACACAGUGUUAACCACGAGGUAUGAGCUUGGAAGAGACCAGCUGAAUGAGUUGGCCCCACACUAACGAUGGGGAACUCCGGAAAAAGUGAAAUGGAAUGUUUCAAAUCUUGGCUAUGCCUAUCCAUGUGUACCUAACACUUCUUUUUGCUUUUUGAACCUUGUUCUCUAUUCCCCUAUUGUAUCCCAAACGACCUGCGUCACAUUUGUUACCCCUUGUUUAUUUUGUGGCCAACCCGUUAAGCCGUUGGAGUCCGGCCAACGACGCCAACAGGGUGGUUUUCAAGGCUCUGCGCCUUAUUUGGAGCAGCACCCAGCGUCUCUGUCCCGCUGCAGGGCUAACUGAGCUAGCGUAGCCUCUUACUAACAGCCUGAGAAGACACACCCCUACUAACAGGACUUCCGUGACUGUCUUUCAGUUACACGUCAGCAUUCCACACCUUCUCUCCUCCGUGCAAUCAGCACGAUCAAAAAGCAUGGGAUAGAUUAUUGCUGAAUUCUUAUCGACUGUUUUAGGGCGCACCGUGUUUUGAAGGAGGUGCGUCUGCAUCUCUCUAACCGAGCCGUUGGGAGAUCACUCCACGGUGCUGAGGAGGAGAAGGUCUGGUAUGUGAGACUGGUCUUCUAACUACCCUACUAACCUUGUUCUUGUAGUGGCAUUAGAAAGCACUAACCACUGGAGCAGAGGAUAGCUCCAUACACUAACUAACUAACCGACUAACAGACUAACGAACUAACACACACUAACCUACUAAUAAUAUAACUACUGCCUGUGGUGCUGGAAGCUGAGGGAGUUUGGAGCAGCCCUACCUGUCUGCGACACUGCGUCAGUCCUCAGACACUGCAGGGGUUAUAGCAUAGGAAAUGGAUUGGGAUUGACGUUAAUUCUGUGGAAAAACUGUCGGGGUGUUUGUGUAUGCGUCCGUGUGUAUGUCUGAGGGAGUGAGUGAGAGUUUGUCGGUGUUUUGUCGGUGUAUUUGCCAUGCAUGUGUGAAAGUCUGCGCUCUGCUGACUGAAAUGAUGGAGUUAGCAGCGGUGUUCUGGUGUUGAGCUGGCACAGGGGGGUCUGACGUACAAAGAACAUUCUCGAUAAAUAGACCCACCUACUCGGACCAACACUGCGUCACUGGUUCAACAGUGUAAUAAUAUACAGUGUAUGCUCUGGCAUUAUGUAUCCAUUGUCUUGUCAAAUACACAAUACUGUCCUCAAAGUGGAAUAAACAAUGUUUUUUAAGA